rnacentral:lncRNA from 1 species
UUUAUUCCCAGUUGCAGAUGUGACAGAUGAUGGACAGAUGGACCAGGCUGUGCAGUGAGUCAUGCAGGAAUGAGAUAGCUUUGUGCUCUUUGCCUUAAGACUUACUCCACCCUGCCCUUCUGUAGCAGUGGUGUCAUUUCUACCAGAGCACACUCAUAUGAGAAACAGAAGACUGAGAGGAGCAGCCAGGAUACAGCCAAAUCCUAUCAAACUUUUUACUCACUGAAGAAACUGAAGAAGAAACACUUUCUAGAGGGAUGACAGACCAGGCCUGAAGUUGUUGAUGACCCAAAUUAUAUUUUUAAGACUGCUGUAAAGUUAA